AUGUUUUUUUUAUUGAUUUAAUUUAUUAUUAAUGCAAAAUAAAAAUAAAAAAUUAGCAUUCUGCACUUCCUCUCUAUAUUCGCUAUAAGUGUGGGAAAUUUCAUACUCCGCCGCCCGCGCAAUUUUGGUAAAAAGUGGUACAAAGUUUUUGGUUCAUGUAUUAAUAUACUUAUAUAGAUUCUGUUUAGUCACAACAUUUUUCUUAAAAAAUGUCAAAAUGGACGUCAAGAAAAAUUUUCAGAUUUUCUUCACAAUAUUUUAAAUAAACGUGAAAUUAAAUGAUCACAGUGUAAAAUUAUAUAUUAUAAUUAUUUGUAUAGUGAAAUACUCCUCUAUAUCCGUGGAUAAAAAUACAUUUGUGUCUAGGAAUAAGCCUCACCUCAGAGUUGGUAGUUAAUUCCCUGCGCUUACGUUACCACAGUUCGAAAAUUUUUGCUGAAACAUAAAAUGCCUGCUUUUCUAAUCAAUGGUUUAUCAUCAUCGGAAUCUGCUGGGACCUCUUCCUCAAUUUUAAUGUGAUUUUCGCUGUUACAUAAUCUUCCUUGGAGAUAUCAAAAUAGUAUCGUAACAAGUAAACAAUACCCCAAACACUCAAUAUCGGAUGUUCCCGGAAGAUACACGAGAGAUAAGCAAAGAUUUUUGCGCCAAGCCUGGUCUAUGAGACGAAUGUUUGUGAAUCUAGGGCUAAGAUAAAUUACAGUGCUACAUCCGCAAGUCAGUCCGGUGCAACCGCGUCACAGGAACCCGUGCAAUGCGUUUUUGAAGGGACAAAGAGGUUUGCACAUACACAAAAGUAGGUGCCAUAAGGGCCGGCAACCGCAUAAACAUGGAACCACAAAGACGUAAACAAUAUACCUAUAGCUAGUCAACUUGACUCUGCAUUGAUGGCCAUUAAUAAUGAAGCAAAUAAAUGUAUAUGAAACCUGGAAAAGAUUACGGAUUCCUAGAAAAACUCUUCGGAACAAGAGAGAUCACAAGUAUACUGAAGAAUAUUAUGGAGUUCAAACCGUUUUCAUUAAGGAUGAAGAACAAAAGUUAAUAGACUGGAUUCACUAUUUGGGAAGACUAGAUUUUCCUGUAAAAAAGCCAGCUAUUGGAGAUGGUGUCAAAAUUAUUGGAAACAUUAAAUCUCCCACACCCAUUUAAAGACAAAGUACCAGGAAGACACUGGCUUCAAAAUUUCAUCAAAACCAUCCCACAAUUUCAAAGAAGAGUUGUCCUAAAUUUGCCAACGUAUAUAAAUGAAGUGAAAGAAGAAACGUCAUGGUUUACGAGGGCUGCACUAAAAGUAUCGGGAAUGGAAUAUUUCCACUGUUCCUGUCAUAUUAAAAUCUUUUUAAUUAAAAACUCCUUGGUUUUAAAAAUCGAAUACAAUUUAUUUAUUUAAAAAAAGAUUCUCGGUCUUGUCACGAGGUUUUGUCAAACUUGUUUAGUCGUUGAGAAAAUGGAAUUGACUCGAGAAAAUUCAAGAGCGAUGAUUUAUUAUGACUUUCGAAGUGGUUUAACACAAAAACAGUGUGUUGACCGGAUGAUUUCUGCAUUUGGUGAUGAAGCCCCAUCCAAAACCACAAUUUAUCGCUGGUUUGCUGAGUUUCAACGUGGACGUGUCAAGCUCAGUGAUGAUCCCCGUCAAGGUCGUCCAAAAACUGCAGUCACCCAAGAAAACGUUGAUGCUGUGCGUAAGCUGAUUGAGGAAGAUCGACAUGUGACAUACCGCGAAAUUCAAGCAACUUUAGACAUUGGCAUGAGUCAAAUACAAAUAAUCUUGCAUGAACAAUUAGGUGUAAAAAAGUUGUUUAUCCGAUGGAUACCGCAUUCGCUCUGUGAAGAGCAAAAAGCGGCUCGCGUUACUUGGUGCGUCAGAACUCUCGAAAUAUUCCACGCAGGAUCCUCAAAUGCUGUAUACAACAUUGUAUCAGGUGACGAAUCCUGGAUAUAUGCGUACGAACCCGAAACAAAAAACCAGUCACGAGUUUGGGUGUUCGAAAAUGAGUUAAAGCCAACAAAAAUUGUUCGUUCACGGAGUGUUGCAAAAAAAAUGGUGGCCACGUUUGUCUCCAAAACCGGCCAUGUUACGAUUAUUCCUCUUGAGGGACAAAGAACGGUUAAUGCAGAAUGGUAUGCUAGCAUUUGUUUGCCACAGGUCGUUUCUGAACUCCGUAAAGAGAACUGCAACCGCCGCAUCAUCCUCCAUCACGACAAUGCGAGUUCUCACACCGCGCACAGAACAAAAGAGUUUUUAGAGCAAGAAAACAUAGAAUUAUUAGACCAUCCGCCGUAUAGCCCCGACCUAAGCCCUAAUGGUUUCUAUACUUUCCCUAAAAUAAAGAAUAAAUUGCGUGGACAGAGAUUUUCAUCACCUGAAGAAGCUGUGGACGCCUACAAAACGGCCAUUUUGGAGACCCCAACUUCCGAAUGGAAUGGUUGCUUCAAUGAUUGGUUCCAUCGUAUGGAAAAAUGUGUCAAAUUUCGCGGAGAAUACUUCGAAAAGCAAUAAAUACAUGUUUAAAUAGUAAUGUUGUGUCACUUCGUUAAUUCCCGAAAUUUUCA